UACUUUGAAUUAUUUUUUAUGAAAAUAGUUUAGAAAGUAGGUUAAAUAAAGUAUGGUACCACUUCAGAAGAUUUCUUUGCUUUAAUUAGUUUUGUGAUGAUCUGCAGGAGCCUAGGGAGUCAAGUUCACUCCAAUGACCAAAUACAAGGGGAAAUGUAACUCAAGGUUAAUAACCUAGAAGCUUUCGUACCUCUAGAUGUCUAGCAACAUGAUUCUAAUUCGUUAGAUUUAGUAUAUUUUUGCAUUCAUAUCUUUGAAUCAUAAUCCCAGUGAUCCCAUCUCUCUUGCUGUUAUAAUAAAGACAUGUUAUUUUAGUUUCUAAGAUUAUUUCUUAUGAUCGUGUUUCAAUGCUAUCGUAAGCACUUUUUCCUUCUAAUAUGAACACUUCUUUAAUUCAUCGUUUCUGUUGGGAGGGUUUUUAUUGGGAGGCUGAUCUAAAGGGCUGACCAUCUUGCCGCGCUCCAUCUGCCUUCCGCAGGGGUAACUAUUUUGGUCCAAAGGGCAACCUUAUGAAUCAAGCUGUGCGCGGACGAUGUAAAUAUACUUCUACAGAGGCGGGAGGCAGAAGGUGCAGGGGAAGCGGUGCACUGCUGCGUGGUUUGGAUGGCCGACGCCUGAACUGGUGGUUGGCUGGUUGAGGUUCAUGCGGAACCACUGUGUUUGUGGUUUUCUGGACGGGUUUGCUCUUUUACUCUGAAUCCAGAUGUGAGUUGACACUUUCAUGUGUUAUGUGUUCUCUGCUUCUUUGGUGGCUAGGGAAACAUCAAACAUGACUUCGGCUGUACUGACAGACAGUGAGAGGUGACGUUAGUUCAGUGAUCAACUUUUUUUUAGUUUCAGCAUAUGAUUUUUUGGCCAAAUACUGUCAACAGACUACUGUUCUGCUCGCCAAGUGCUGGCAACACAAGAACAAAUCCAAGAAAUUUGCUACUCGAGCUGUAACUACUCAAGCAUUGACCCUUUUAGUGUUUUGUUUACUUUUUGAGGUUUAUCAUCAGGUCUGUACAUGCCCUGUUUUGCAUAAUGCUUCCCAUGCUUUGCUUGAUCCGUUGUUAUGCUGCUUCUAAGCCAAAUGUUCUUAUAUUAUUGGCCCUCCUCUUAAAUUUUGUCACUUUGAAUGUAUAACUGAGUGGUAAUUAAUUGCAAGGUGAUACCAUUAUGAUAAAACUGAAUUUGGAAUAUCUAAUUUAUGCCACUUUAAAUGUAUAACAAUUUAGAACAAAUUUCUUCUUGCAAGAAUGGUUAGAAUAACUGAAUUAUGGUAAAAUUGAUAAUGUGUCGUUGUGAAUGCCGGACUAAGACAUCUCCGACUGGGGCACUUAUGCCCUUCUUAUUCCUCUGUUUCGCACUCUCUAUCGGUAGCUCACUAUAUGCCAUUCAUAUUCCAGGACCUAUUAGGAUACAAAGUUGAUGCUCCAACCAUUAUUUCACUUUCUAAUAUUUUCUUUGCAUCUCUGUUGUCACUUGGUCUAGCCAGUACUUCACUGUGUUUACGUCAAUAGGUCUUUCAGUGAUUGAACAAUUCUUGGUUAAACCCAUAUAUUCAUUUGGCCAUUAUAUCUAUUUGCCUAAAGAUGGUAUGUAUUUGAGUUUAAAGAGCCAGUACAAUAACAAAGUUAUCUCAGUUCUCGAAAGUUAAAUGGACCUUGAACCAUUUGAUCCUAUUUCCGUGGACAAAUUUAUGUUGUGGAACUUGAUGGGGUCAAAUCCAUGUGCCUCCAAAUCAUGCAUUGAAGAUUUAGGGUGGGGUCAAUGCUAUCGUUAGUAGGCAAAGGGCAUUAGUAUGUGUGUGGCGGGAAUGUUUAGACAAUAACUACCAAGAAGAAAGAACUUCUCAGGUUUUCAUCACCUGUGUGAUUAUUAAAAGUGCUCUCCUUGGUUAAUUUUUCUGGCCUCCGGGAGUCAUUUCUGAAUUUAACUACAUUCGUAGGGAUUGCCAUACAAAUUAUGAUAGUUUCAAAAUGACUUCAUCUCCUUAAUCCCAACAUAUCAAUAGAGAAAAAAAUUACCCAGUGGUGUAGUGUGGCUAAUCAAUUGUAGGUGGUUUAAAAGCCCUUGAUGGUAUUGGUGCACCCCUAUGUACUUGACAAUUCCUUCCUCGUUUUUCUCUGUAACACCAUUAGUUCAUUUAUAUGGCAGUGGUAAUUCAAGGAGACGACAAAUGUUAUUGCAUAGUCUACAUUAAAUAUGUCAAAAAGCGUUACUUCAAUGGUCUCAACUGCAUAGACAGUUAUAUUUGGCACAACGGAGGUAUAUAUUUUAACGUACUUUUAUGGUCUCUUUACGUGCCUACAAAAAACCUGGCGAUGGCUACUAUAUUGUUUACGUUGCCACAUAAUUACCGAUGGAUCAUGUCUAUUUCCUGUUUACGUCGCCACAUAAUUACCAAUUUAUUACAUUAGGCAAACUCUUCUACCCGUGACGAGAUUGGUUCAGUUCUUCGUACCUCAACAUUCCUUGCAUGUGUUUCAAGCCUAGACUCAUUGACGCAGGGGGCUCGGUGUCACGUCUGGUGGCCAAGCACGAAGUCAAAGCUACACAUGCUGCUAAUGGUUGGAGCUAUAUGGCAGCCAACAAGUUCAUCAAUAUCUCUAUUACGGCCAUCGCUAUCUUCCAUUUCACAAUAUGUGCUUUCUUAUAAUGUUAUCAUGCAGAUGCCAAUUCAUUUCUCUGUCCAUAUAUCUUUGAGAAGGUCGACAUAGCUGUUUGUUUGAGGCUCAACGUGAUACCAGCCUUUGAUUCAAGCUUUGCUUUUUGUUUUCCCAGGAGCCUUAGCUUUUAGUGUUAUUAAUUUAUCAUGGAUGUUUGUUUUGUGUUCUUCACAUUCCAUGGACUACAAAGAAUAUGUGUUAUUCCAUUUAUAGUCGUUUGGUACAUCUAAAGUGGAGACCAGUGAAACAUAUAUAUGCAUUUGUUCA